rnacentral:rRNA from 1 species
CCUACGGGUGGCAGCAGUGAGGAAUAUUGGUCAAUGGACGAGAGUCUGAACCAGCCAAGUAGCGUGAAGGAUGACUGCCCUACGGGUUGUAAACUUCUUUUAUAAAGGAAUAAAGUGAGGCACGUGUGCCUUUUUGUAUGUCCUUUAUGAUUAGGAAUGGGCUAACUCCGUGCCAGCAGCCGAGUUAAUACGGAGGAUCCGAGCGUUAUCCGGAUUUAUUGGGUUUAAAGGGAGCGUAGAUGGGUUGUUAAGUCAGUUGUGAAAGUUUGCGGCUCAACCGUAAAAUUGCAAUUGAUACUGGCAGUCUUGAGUACAGUAGAGGUAGGCGGAAUUCGUGGUGUAGCGGUGAAAUGCUUAGAUAUCACGAAGAACUCCGAUUGCGAAGGCAGCUUACUAAACUGCCACUGACAUUGAUGCUCGAAAGUGUGGGUAUCAAACAGGAUUAGAUACCCCAGUAGUC